GGGAUUGUGGCUUAGUGGUAGAGCACUUGCCUAGCAUGCUUGAGGCCCUAGGUUCGAUCCUUAGCACCA
rnacentral:tRNA from 1 species